rnacentral:rRNA from 3 species
UCAGGUAGGGAUACCCGCUGAACUUAAGCAUAU